rnacentral:rRNA from 1 species
GAUGAACGCUAGCUACAGGCUUAACACAUGCAAGUCGCGGGGCAGCAUGGGGGUUGCUUGCAAUCCCCGAUGGCGACCGGCGCACGGGUGAGUAACGCGUAUCCAACCUGCCCUUCACCACGGGAUAACCCGGCGAAAGUCGGACUAAUACCGUAUGUUGUCCAUUGACGGCAUCCGAUUUGGACGAAAGGCUUGGCGGUGAGGGAUGGGGAUGCGUCCGAUUAGCCAGACGGCGGGGUAACGGCCCACCGUGGCUUCGAUCGGUAGGGGUUCUGAGAGGAAGGUCCCCCACACUGGAACUGAGACACGGUCCAGACUCCUACGGGAGGCAGCAGUGAGGAAUAUUGGUCAAUGGGCGUAAGCCUGAACCAGCCAAGUAGCGUGCAGGAUGACGGCCCUAUGGGUGGUAAACUGCUUUUAUGCGGGGAUAAAGUGGCCCACGUGUGGGCUUUUGCAGGUACCGCAUGAAUAAGGACCGGCUAAUUCCGUG